rnacentral:rRNA from 1 species
GGCUCAGGACGAACGCUGGCGGCGUGCCUAAAACAUGCAAGUCGAACGGUGUAGCAAUACACAGUGGCGAACGGCGAAGUAAUACAUAAGCAACGUGCCCCGAAGACUGGGAUAGUCAGAGGAAACUCUGGGUAAUACCAGAUGCGGCCACUUUCCGGCAUCGGAGAGUGAUCAAAGGGUUUUUCGCUUCGGGAGCGGCUUAUGGCCUAUCAGGUAGUUGGUGGGGUAAUGGCCUACCAAGCCGACGACGGGUAGCGGGUCUGAGAGGAUGAUCCGCUCGAGUGGGACUGAGACACGGCCCACACACCUACGGGUGGCAGCAGUUGGGAAUCUUGCACAAUGGGGGAAACCCUGAUGCAGCGACGCCGCGUGGAGGAUGAAGGAUCUAGGUCUGUAAACUCCUUUUUCAGGGAAAGACUUAGGACGGUACCCUGAGAAUAAGGACCGGCUAACUACGUGCCAGCAGCCGCGGUAAGACGUAGGGUCCAAGCGUUGUCCGGAUUUACUGGGCGUAAAGAGCGCGUAGGCGGUCUGUUAAGUGUGAAGCUAAAUCUCCGGGCUCAACCCGGAAACUAUUUCGCAUACUGGCAGACUAGAGUGAUGAAGAGGUUUGUGGAAUUCCUGGUGUAGCGGUGAAAUGCGUUGAUAUCAGGAGGAACACCCAUGGCGAAGGCAGCAAACUGGUCAUCAACUGACGCUGAGGCGCGAAAGCGUGGGUAGCAAACAGGAUUAGAUACCCUGGUAGUCCACGCCCUAAACGAUGGAUACUAGGCGUAAGAGGUAUCGACCCCUCUUGUGCCGCAGCUAACGCAUUAAGUAUCCCGCCUGGGGAGUACGGCCGCAAGGUUGAAACU